rnacentral:rRNA from 1 species
UACGGAGGGUGCAAGCGUUAUCCGGAUUUACUGGGUUUAAAGGGUUCGUAGGUGGCCACCUAAGUCAGACGUGAAAUCCCUCAGCUUAACUGGGGAACUGCGUCUGAUACUGGGUGGCUUGAGUGCAGGAGAGGAAUGCGGAAUUCCAGGUGUAGCGGUGAAAUGCGUAGAUAUCUGGAGGAACACCGGUGGCGAAGGCGGCAUUCUGGACUGUAACUGACACUGAGGAACGAAAGCCAGGGGAGCAAACGGG